rnacentral:lncRNA from 1 species
GGCCUUCCUUUUCCUCUAAAAGUGACCGAAGAGCUGCCUUUAUUGGACCUCUCUUCCUCACGAUGUCGAGCCCGUAAUAUCGCUCCGCCUGCUCGACGAACUCGUCAACCUGAGGAAAAUUUCCAAGUGCGCCUAUCAACUGAUCGGUGUAAACCAAGCCACAGAAAAAUUGGCGGAAUUACCUCCGGAAACGUAUCCUCUUCGACGUAUAAGCAGAGCAGUUUGGAGAGGUUCCUAACCUUACACACGGAAGCCACCAGGUGCAACACUGCGGUGCAGUCUUUGCCGCCGUUAAAGCUUAAGAACACCUGAUCCGCAGGGUACCUGGAAGCAAGGAAACCCGAGACCAUGGUUCCCUACGACACACCGAGGACGGCCACCGAGGAGUUUUUAGUGGAUGCAAGCCCCACACUUCCUCCACCCCC